GGAGGUAGGCGUCUUUUUUCCUUGUAGGCUGGUUCGGUAUUCUGCCCUCCCUUGUCCUGCAUGCCAUCUCCCUCUGAAACUAAGACUCCUUUGAAGCUGACCUGUUUACUACAUCUUGAUUAAUUCCAUGCUGCAGUACUGCCUAGCUAUAAUUGCAGUAUGCCAGAGCAAAACUCUUAAUGAUUUACACCAAAAUCAGAUGCUGGAAAAUUGCUUUCGAUGAUGCUGUUGAAGAUGAUUUCUCAGGGGCUAGUCUGUGGUAAACAUUGCUUAAAUGGAGCAGAGCUGAGUCAUUUAAGUUCAGGAAAGUCAAGAAAGUGAUGAGUGGAAAAGUUAAACUGAACAGCUCAAGGGAAGAGAGUAAUAUCUUUUGACUUGUGUGUAUCUCUCUGUUAAUAUACUAAACAAAAAUAAACCAGUUAGAGUUAGCUUUGGUUUCAUGGAAUGCUAACACUUACUGUGCAGUGCAGGUAUCAUUCUCUUCCAUUGUGAAGGAAGGUAAGAAGCGGCAACCCAGGACUGAUCUGUGGCUUCAUGAAGUCUCAAGGGACCAAAGGUAUUUCUAGAUCUCACUAGCUUUGUGCUAUGUGUUUUGUUCUUGUGGUCCUGUAUGGCUGCUAAGAAUCCAGUCUGUACAAGAGUUAUUUGGUUUGUUUUUGUUUUCAGACAUGUUCUCGUGUAGCUUGCCUAGAACUCUAUGUAGCUCCAGUUUACCUUGGACUCUCCUCUUGUCUUUUACCUCCUUUGUUCUGGGAUUACAAAUGUGGACCACCACACCAAGCUCAGUCUGUUCAGGAGGGUACUAGAUCCAGGAAAUAAGGUGUGAAAUGCCUUUCCUGUUUCCAAGGGUUUGCUGGAGGUACCACUUCUAACAAGGUAGAAGCAUAAUCCUGUUUCAGGUAACUUUCCUCAGCAGAGAUGAAUCCCCAAGAGGCUGGCAAAGGAGAACUGCAGGUGUCUUGCCCCAGGAAAGCCUUCUGCUUUGGAAGUGUAACUACAGGAAAGCACAAGCCUUCUAGCUUCACAGAUGUCUGCCUGGCACACAGGAAGCUCCUACACUGGACUCCCCACACUGCUGCGGGUCCUUUUCCAUCCUGUGACACCCAGUCAGGCUCCAGUUUUCGUGACUCUCCUGAAGGGCAGCGAUGCUUUAGCUCUCUGCUCAUGGAAGCCCUAAGACCCUGGAGGGAAGCUUGUCAGACUGAAAAGCAGCGUCUGCCAUGCUUCAUGUACCUCUUGCCCAUGGCAGCAUCCGCUUCGUGAUGUCAUCAGGGCUCCAGGCCUUUUUGCUCUGUCUUCCCCAGUCAUCUGACUGCUUCUUUCCCAGGAGAACGUCCUUUGUUUAAGGGAUCCAUGGCUGGUAGCUGCUGGGACUAUCGGCUUCCUUAAACAGAGCCAGAGGAGCAGAAUGUUUGUUCUUACAUUUGAAAACAAAUCUCACUGGUAUCGUUGACUCGUAUCAACAGCAUAAAUUAAUAGAACUCCAUCCGAGUGGUACUCCCACACACGCGGGCAGUGUGCACAGAUGCUGUUCUCUCUUUUAUUCUUGCUUCUUCCCAUGCCCUCUCUGUGGCUCUCCCACUUCCCAGGCCCUAGUCACUGCGCUUGCCCUUCUACUUUCCAGUUGAAGGAACCGGCUUCCCUUUUGGCAGCCAUAAUGGUCGAACAUGUGCUUCUAUGACCUUGUCCUAGAAACCAGAAAGUCAGAUGCCUGUCUCGUGACAAGGAACCUUAGUCACUUAGAGGUCAGAUGCCUGUCUUGUGACAAGGAACCAAUCAGAAGUUAGCUGGUGGCGCUAUGCUUUACGACCCUGGGUGUGCUUUACGGACAAGUGCACAACAAUGAUGUAGAGAGCAUAGCAACCACCCUGGGAGGGCCUAUGGGCCAUAACAACCAGUUGACCAAUCAACACAGGGCAAGCCCUCCAAGCCUGGAAGCACACCAAUCAUGAGCCUGUGCGUAAGCCUAUGCGUACCCCUAGACACUCCCCUUACGCUGCCCUAUAAGAUCUUUUGGGAGCCCGUAGGAGCCGUCUUUUCUAGCCGUCCGCCAUGGCAGGUGGGUGAAAGACCCGAGCUAACAUAGGGUUAGCUCGUUAAAUUACAAUAAAGCCUCGUGCAGUUUGCA
rnacentral:lncRNA from 1 species